rnacentral:rRNA from 1 species
AUUGAACGCUGGCGGCAGGCCUAACACAUGCAAGUCGAACGAGUGGCGGACGGGUGAGUAAUGUCUGGGAAUGUGCCCGAUGGAGGGGGAUAACUACUGGAAACGGUAGCUAAUACCGCAUACCAUCGGAUGUGCCGAGAUGGGAUUAGCUAGUGGGUGGGGUAAAGGCGCACCAAGGCGACGAUCCGUAGCUGGUCUGAGAGGAUGACCAGCCACACUGGAACUGAGACACGGUCCAGACUCCUACGGGAGGCAGCAGUGGGGAAUAUUGGACAAUGGGCGCAAGCCUGAUACAGCCAUGCCGCGUGUAUGAAGAAGGCCUUCGGGUUGUAAAGUACUUUAAGCGGGGAGGCGUUACCCGCAGAAGAAGCACCGGCUAACUCCGUGCCAGCAGCCGCGGUAAUAC